rnacentral:rRNA from 1 species
CGCUGGCGGCAGGCCUAACACAUGCAAGUCGAGCGGAAACGAGUUAUCUGAACCUUCGGGGGACGAUAACGGCGUCGAGCGGCGGACGGGUGAGUAAUGCCUAGGAAAUUGCCCUGGUGUGGGGGAUAACCAUUGGAAACGAUGGCUAAUACCGCAUAAUACCUACGGGUCAAAGAGGGGGACCUUCGGGCCUCUCGCGUCAGGAUAUGCCUAGGUGGGAUUAGCUAGUUGGUGAGGUAAUGGCUCACCAAGGCGACGAUCCCUAGCUGGUCUGAGAGGAUGAUCAGCCACACUGGAACUGAGACACGGUCCAGACUCCUACGGGAGGCAGCAGUGGGGAAUAUUGCACAAUGGGCGCAAGCCUGAUGCAGCCAUGCCGCGUGUGUGAAGAAGGCCUUCGGGUUGUAAAGCACUUUCAGUCGUGAGGAAGGUAGUGUAGUUAAUAGCUGCAUUAUUUGACGUUAGCGACAGAAGAAGCACCGGCUAACUCCGUGCCAGCAGCCGCGGUAAUACGGAGGGUGCGAGCGUUAAUCGGAAUUACUGGGCGUAAAGCGCAUGCAGGUGGUUUGUUAAGUCAGAUGUGAAAGCCCGGGGCUCAACCUCGGAAUAGCAU